UUCUUCUUUUCCCAUCCGGCUGCCACUUUCUGUUUCUUUGGUUUUGUUCACGAAACUUACAAGUAGCAGGUUUAUUGGUGAUUUUUUUUUUCUUUUUGAGAUUAGAAUGCGAGCCUUCUUUUGCAUUGGAGGGGCGCAAGUUUUUAUUCCAGUCUGAUUCAUUGUCGUAGGAUUGUAUAAACUUAGGAAUGAAUUUUUUUCAAGCCUUUUGAUUUUGGAAUUUUGCAGUACUUUAUUCAGGCGAUAAUUGAACAUCGGAAUACAACUAUAUUGUAGGGAUGGGUGGUGCAACAGUUCGGGC
rnacentral:lncRNA from 1 species